rnacentral:rRNA from 1 species
UACGUAGGUGACGAGCGUUGUCCGGAUUUACUGGGCGUAAAGAGCGCGCAGGCGGUCGUUCAAGUCGAGUGUGAAAGCCCCCGGCUCAACUGGGGAGGGUCACUCGAUACUGAUCGACUCGAAGGCAGGAGAGGGAAGUGGAAUUCCUGGUGUAGCGGUGAAAUGCGCAGAUAUCAGGAGGAACACCGAUGGCGAAGGCAGGUCUCUGGGCCACUACUGACGCUGAGAAGCGAAAGCUAGGGGAGCAAACAGG